rnacentral:rRNA from 1 species
AGCGAACGCUGGCGGCAGGCUUAACACAUGCAAGUCGAACGCUCGUAGCAAUACGAGAGUGGCAGACGGGAGAGUAACACGUGGGAACGUGCCCUUUGGUUCGGAACAACCCAGGGAAACUUGGGCUAAUACCGGAUAAGUCCGUAAGGAGAAAGAUUUAUCGCCAAAGGAUCGGCCCGCGUCUGAUUAGCUAGUUGGUGAGGUAACGGCUCACCAAGGCGACGAUCAGUAGCUGGCUGAGAGGAUGAUCAGCCUCAUUGGGACUGAGACACGGCCCAAACUCCUACGGGAGGCAGCAGUGGGGAAUCUUGGACAAUGGCGCAAGCCUGAUCCAGCCAUGCCGCGUGGGUGAUGAAGGCCCUAGGGUUGUAAAGCCCUUUCGGC